CACAUAGAAAAUUACUGUACAGAUGGCACUUAACUCCCUACACACUCCAUAAAAUUUACCCCAAUACGUCUCCUCUCUGCUGGAGAUGUUCGGCAGAGACAGGCACACAUACGCACAUAUGGUGGUCAUGUCCCAACAUACAACCCCUCUGGGUAGAAGUACAAAACACUCUAAGUGCCCUUAAUGUCCCACACAUUGGAAACACCCCCGAACUAUUCCUACUUAUGCGUUUCCCCACAUCGUUUAAAUAUGCACACAAACAACUAAGUGCAAUCACCAUCCUGGCAGCUCGAAAUUUAAUAGCCUGCAACUGGAAAUCCACACUCUGUCCUACCAAAGCCAAAUUAUGGGAUAAAAUACAGCAAUA